rnacentral:rRNA from 1 species
CUAGGUUGGGUAUAAACCCGGGAAACUGGGUAUAAUACCCGAUAGGUCUCGAUUGCUGGAAUGCAUCGAGAUUUAAAGCUCCGGCGCCUAAGGAUGGGUCUGCGGCCUAUCAGGUAGUAGUGGGUGUAGCGUACUACUAGCUACGACGGGUACGGGUUGUGAGAGCAAGAGCCCGGAGAUGGAUUCUGAGACACGAAUCCAGGCCCUACGGGGUGCAGCAGGCGCGAAAACUUUACAAUGCUGGCAACAGCGAUAAGGGAACCUCGAGUGCCAGGUUACAAAUCUGGCUGUCGAGAUGCCUAAGAAGCAUUUCAUAGCAAGGGCCGGGCAAGACCGGUGCCAGCCGCCGCGGUAACACCGGCGGCUCGAGUGGUAACCGUUAUUAUUGGGUCUAAAGGGUCUGUAGCCGGCCGGAUAAGUCUCUUGAGAAAUCUGGCAGCUUAACUGUCAGGCUUUCAGGAGAUACUGUCUGGCUCGAGGCCGGGAGAGGUGAGAGGUACUUCAGGGGUAGGGGUGAAAUCUUGUAAUCCUUGAAGGACCACCAGUGGCGAAGGCGUCUCACCAGAACGGACCUGACGGCAAGGGACGAAAGCUAGGGGCACGAACCGGAUUAGAUACCCGGGUAGUCCUAGCCGUAAACGAUACUCGCUAGGUGUCGGCCACGGUGCGACCGUUGUCGGUGCCGUAGGGAAGCCGUGAAGCGAGCCACCUGGGAAGUACGGCCGCAAGGCUGAAACUUAAAGGAAUUGGCGGGGGAGCACCACAACGGGUGGAGCUUGCGGUUUAAUUGGAUUCAACGCCGGAAAUCUUACCGGGACCGACAGCAAUAUGAAGGCCAGGCUGAAGACUUUGCCGGAUUAGCUGAGAGGUGGUGCAUGGCCGUCGUCAGUUCGUACUGUGAAGCAUCCUGUUAAGUCAGGCAACGAGCGAGACCCA